UAGCGUUGCUUGCAAUGACCAGUUUUGCUCCAUUUGUACCUUCCUGCCCUUUUUUUUGGCCUCUAGUUAGACUCAAAGUGCUCUGGUGCUUGGAUCACCUUUUUGUUACUGAUACUCAGGAUAUCUCCAGCAGUGAAGUCCUGGCCCCAGAUGAGGUUCUCCGUGGCCGAGUUGUGGCUGUGAAGCCGUCAUUGCUGUUUGUUCUGCUGGGACCAAACCUGCAAAUCUUUCAGAGAAGACGGACGCUCUGACAGGCUCUGUGGCUGAAAUGCCAGGCAGGAAACCAAAGGAUGAAAACAGGGUGCAAGAGAAAAGCUGAAUGCAAACCCCAGGUUGCCUGCAAGAAGCUGAACUCUGACGCAGGAUGGCAUCCAUGUGUGUUUACACAUUUCCCGUUCCCUAGUACAGCCACUGCCACGAGAAAAUUGCUGAAAUACAUCUGAGCUAACAUACAUGUGACAGCUGCUUCCAAGGGUUAUAAAGGUACUAAAGCAACAUAGUUGUGGAAAGCAAACCAACUAACCAAUAGAAGCGUGGAGUACUCAGCAUCAAGAUUCAAUUCUCACAACCUUUCAUCUUAUCAGUGACUACAAACAUGAGCAAUUUUGCUUACUCCUGCAGAAAUUCUUCUGCCAAUGAAGUCAUGGUACAGAAACAGCGAUAUCACAGCAGUGAAACGGUAACAGAAUUUGGCUCACAAGUUCCGCUCUGUUGCCCGUGCAAGCCGUGUUGGACCUCACAAAGCGAACACCAACGAUGAAGACUGCUGACUUUAGAAGUCCAGCAUGAAGAUGAAUUUCUAUGACGUAUCUGAGACUUGUUUUCUUCAACUUCAUGAUCAUGGCAUAUAUCAUAUGAACGUGUGGAGUUGCCUCCUCUUGCUCUUAGGUCAUUUCUAUUGAUGGUACAAGUGCCAAUGGAAUCCAUGAACAACAGCUGAUUUGAAGCAGGACGUCCCAGUGUCUCACCAGCCCAUUUACGCUUAGAUCUACCCUUUCCAAAAGACCUCUGUGUUCGAUAACUUCAAAACUGGAGAGGCUGUAAACACUCAGGGAGGCUGGGCUUUGAAGUGAACAUGGCCCUGAGGAUUUUCAGCUUUUCUAAGGUUGCCCUUUCAGACCACACAGAGCUGUGACCAGAGAGGGUUCAGCAUUUAUUGUUUUCCAUUGAUUCGAGGGAGCUCAAACUAUCAAAGAACUGGGGGCAAAGUGAAUUUUCUCCUGGACCUGGACUCAGCUUCAAAGAGGGAACAGAAGAUUCGGACAUGGAUUUCAGCUCACAGAGACCCAGCUGGUGCUCAGAGAAGCUGUUGCAGAACAGAAGUAGAAGGGGCAGGGGCCAAGGUGCAGCACCAGGGUAUGGCAGGGCUCUUCCAGAAGAGCAUCCAGCCUUGGCAGCUGAACCUUCUGCCCGGUGCCGGUUGAGCGGUCACAGCCCAGCUGGAGCCACCUGAACCCUGCUACAGGUCUGCUCUCACCUUAACCUCCCUCACUCCUGUUCUUUAGUUACCUUCAGCAAAGUUUGAGAAUGAAACUGGGAAAUACCCAUGUGGGAACUUCUAAGAUCUAACCUAUGAAACCACUUGAUUUACCAAGUAUAGUAAAAAUAGUCUGUCUAUAAACUCGAGUCAAGAUCAAAGCUUCUUUGUGCUUGCCACUUACUAUUCAAAGCACAACGGGUCAGAUUCAACCUAGAAGCAACCCUAAAAGCUGGCCUGGCGUAGUACUUUUUUGCAUAUUGAGCUGGGAUUUGUAAAAUGCAAUCGUGCCAACACUAGCAGGUCAGGAAGCAGUAAACUGAGUGUCUCCCAGGUUGGACCUACUGAACAUGAUAGAUCUGACGGGCAGUCACCUUCCAGACCGGACUCCUGGGCUACCAGAGACAGACCUGCCACUUGAGGAAGUGGCAAAUGAUUUUCAAACUUAAUUCAAGUUGUUUAAAGAACUACGCAGAGACUGCAAGGAGACUUUCUUUCCCCGUAACAAGAACCCAUCACAAGAGGGACUUGUGCAUCUGCACGGCCUUCCUCCCCUUGCCUCCCCGGCUGGGCGAAGCGGGUUUUUGCAGGAGGAGGGGUGGUGACAUCCCCUCCAGCGGUGACAAACCAACCGCUCAAGCACGAACGACGAUGCUCUCCACCCCUGGGAAUGGCUGAAUUCCAGAAAGGAGCUUUGAGUUCGUAGCACCCAUCUGAUCUGUGCAUAGGUGUAUACACGCAGAGCUACAGGUUGUGACACAGUUUUCAUUUAGUUAAUUAUAUUACAAGCCAUACAGUUAAUUAAAGAAAUAUAUUAAAAAAAAAUAAUCAAAUGAA